GGAGGAACUGUGGCUAAGUGGUAGAACAUCAGCUUCGCAUGUGGAAGGUCUCAGGUUCAAUCCCUGAUUUCUCCA
rnacentral:tRNA from 1 species